CCAAAUGGGCCAGUGCAAAUCCUACUUGGAUAACUGUGGUAAUUCCAGAGCUAAUACAUGCAACUGAUAUCCCGAAGGCGAUGGUUGUGCUUGCUUGUCUUGCGCUCUCACUGCUCUGACGGAUGCUUUUAUUAGACCAAACUGCUGAGGACUUGAGGGUUCGCCUUCUUGUCUGACUCGUGUAAUGGUGACUCUGGAUAACCAAUCUGACAAGCGCACGUACUUCUCUUCUGAGCGAGACGGCGCUGCCACUUUCGAGUGUCUGCCUUAUCAGCUAUCAACCGUUCGUUAUGCGCGACCGAUGGCUUUGACGGGUAACGGGGAAUCAGGGUUCGAUUCCGGAGAGGCAGCCUGAGAGACGGCUACCACGUCCAAGGACGGCAGCAGGCACGCAAAUUACCCAAUCCCAGCAAAUGGGGGAGGUAGUGACGAAAUCUAACGAUGCGGGCGCCCUUUCUGGGGCCCCGCAAUCGGAAUGGGCACUUUCUAAACAACCUGUUGAGAACCUACUGAAGG
rnacentral:rRNA from 3 species